rnacentral:rRNA from 1 species
UACGAAGGGGGCUAGCGUUGCUCGGAAUCACUGGGCGUAAAGCGCACGUAGGCGGGUUCUUAAGUCGGAGGUGAAAUCCUGGAGCUUAACUCCAGAACUGCCCCCGAUACUGGGAGUCUUGAGUUCGAGAGAGGUGAGUGGAACUGCGAGUGUAGAGGUGAAAUUCGUAGAUAUUCGCAAGAACACCAGUGGCGAAGGCGGCUCACUGGCUCGAUACUGACGCUGAGGUGCGAAAGCGUGGGGAG